AGCAACAAAUGCCCUGCUUCCAGGAAAAGCCUCUAAGCAUCAGGUAACAUCAAAUCGUACCCCAAACCGACACAGGUGGUCAGGUAGAGAAUACCAAGGCGCUUGAGAGAACUCGGGUGAAGGAACUAGGCAAAAUGGUGCCGUAACUUCGGGAGAAGGCACGCUGACACGUAGGUGAAGUGAUUUACUCAUGGAGCUGAAGUCAGUCGAAGAUACCAGCUGGCUGCAACUGUUUAUUAAAAACACAGCACUGUGCAAACACGAAAGUGGACGUAUACGGUGUGACGCCUGCCCGGUGCCGGAAGGUUAAUUGAUGGGGUCAGCGCAAGCGAAGCUCCUGAUCGAAGCCCCGGUAAACGGCGGCCGUAACUAUAAC
rnacentral:rRNA from 1 species